ACAUGGAGGAGACAGGAGCGUAAAGAAGGAAGGAAAGAAACAGCAUCCGUACGGCUUCUGUCAAACCCAAGUCAGCCACACCUGAACUGCUCCCACCUAAGCAAGUUUGGAUCUGGUUCUCCAUCAUCUACUUCAAGUUCUAAUCGGGAUUCUUCAUGGAAUACGACCUGUCCAUCACAACUCAGCCCACUGUUCGUAUAAUGGCUUUUCCUGGCUGGUGGCUAAUUGCUUUAGAAUACCUGUGCUGGGCCCCCAGGUCACCAUCCACUGUGUUUUAUGGCUCUUGCAAAGGAAACCACUUAUCAGGGCAUCUCAGUUCAGACCAGCUGCAAUUUAAGUGCUCAGGAGCCACAUGUAACCUGUGACUGCCUUAUUGGACAGCGCAGGUCUAGAGUACAUCUCUGGAGCUCAUGGAACAACAGAGCACCGUCACUGCCACCACCCAAAGUCCAAACCAAGGGGCCAGGCCCUCAGCGCUGCCUUCGAAACAUAACUGAACCAAAACUACCACAAAUGUGGGUGGUGCCUGGGCCCGAAAGACCUAGUGGAUAGCAUUUGCUGAAGCCUUCAUAGAGCAUUCUCAUCCCAGGUAUGACUGCUUGGGGAAAGGCUGAGCCAGGGCCCCCUAUAUAAACAAGCAUACUUGUUCCAUUGGGACCCUUGGUUGGCUUUUCCAGGUAAAUGAAUGUCCACAGGAGGGCACCUACAACAUCUUUAGUGCCAUUGUUGUUGAAUUAAAAAUGAAGUCCAAGGCUGGUCUUGUGAUGGA